AAAAAAUAUUAUUGUGGUGCAGAAUCUUGAAGUUGUCUAUUCUUUGGUGCAUUAAAGCAAUUGCUGACUUAAGUCGAAGUUGAGUGGACUAAAACCGAUUAAAACUCACUGACAAUUGUAAUCAUGGCUUUACUUGGAUCUGUAUUGUAUGAGUUAUUAGCAGAAAAUACACAUCGAAAAACUUCGCUCUUUUCACAUGCAACCAUCAACUGAUAAA